UGAGAUACCCUCCUCUGUGUUGAGGUAGAAGUUACAUGUGUGGUUCAGCACGUCUUCAGGUCUGCCAAGAUCCACAAAGAAUGGAAACCUCACUGCAGCAGAUAAGAGCACACAAGCAACGCACUGCUUUUUUGUUAUGCUGCUGAGAACCCAGUGGAAAUGGAUCAGGCAAACUCUAUUGUUUAUUCUGAAGUUUAGUCUGAAUAUUAUAUGUUUUGGAAAUGUUAGGACAAAUCUCAGGACACCACUUAUUUUUCUAUACAUGAAAUAUAAAUAUGUUUGUGACACCAGUGUAAUAUAUCAAAUCAAAUUUU